rnacentral:rRNA from 1 species
UACGUAGGGUGCAAGCGUUGUCCGGAAUUAUUGGGCGUAAAGAGCUCGUAGGCGGUCUGUUGCGUCGGCUGUGAAAACCCGGGGCUCAACCUCGGGUCUGCAGUCGAUACGAGCAAACUAGAGUGUUGCAGGGGAGACUGGAAUUCCUUGUGUAGCGGUGAAAUGCGCAGAUAUCAGGAGGAACACCGAUGGCGAAGGCAGAUCUCUGGGCCGUAACUGACGCUGAGGGGCGAAAGCAUGGGGAGCGAACAGG